rnacentral:misc_RNA from 1 species
GCUCAUCACAUUUAAUAGGUGUAAAAAGAGCUAUUAAAAGAUGUUGAACAGUUCAACAUGUAAUAGAUCUCAAUACUUGUGCCAUAAUGCACCUUUUACCUAACAUCGAUAACUAAAUCCACUCAAUCUAAAGAUGAAUUGUUCUUGUCUAAGCCAUCAGGGGAUAACUUCCUUAAAAUGAGCAAGGAAGCACUUACCACUGGAUUGUAUAUUAUAUUUUAAACCUUUAUCAAAGAAAUCUACCUUACUUCAAAACAAACACAUAGAUUCCUAGACCACAAGUUACCUAAGGA